rfam:Bacilli bacterium VT-13-104 contig029, whole genome shotgun sequence.
UUCAAUCUUCGGGGCAGGGUGUAAUUCCCGACCGGCGGUAAAUAGCUGUUCGCUAUAAGUCCGCGACCCACAGUUUAUUUAGAUUGUGGUUGACCUGGUGGAAACCCAGGACCGACAGUUAAAGUCUGGAUGAGAGAAGAUGUCG